GUUAGGUUGCGGGGUUAGCAGGUGGGGUUAGGGGUUAGGGGUUAGAAGGUGGGGUUAGGGUUAGGGGUUAGGAUUAGGGUUAGGGUUUGAGUUAGGAUUAGCGUUUGGAUUAAUUGUAAAUCCAUUGUAACCAAUACUUUAUUGCAUACAAUGGCAUUACAACGCCAAUAAAUUAUUGGUUACAACGUGCGGAACGGCUGGUCUUCUGGAUUGUCUAAGCUUUGCCUAACCUUCCAACAACUCAAAUCUAUAGGGUCUGGGAUACGCUAUCCACUGGGAAAUGUUUAAAAUCUAAGGUAUUCACAACACAAUGUUUAGCAUUUUUGAGACGACAUUGAAUCAUUUGAAGAUAACAGACACGAC